GACGAACGCUGGCGGCGUGCUUAACACAUGCAAGUCGAACGGGUCUGCCCUGUUUUUUGCGGGGUGGGUCAGUGGCGAACGGGUGAGUAACACGUGAGUAACCUGCCCCUCACUUCUGGAUAACCGCUUGAAAGGGUGGCUAAUACGGGGUGUUCUGGCUGUGCCGCAUGGUGUGGCUGGGAAAGAUUCACUUUUGUGGUGUUUUGGUGGGGAAUGGGCUCGCGGCCUAUCAGCUUGUUGGUGGGGUGAUGGCCUGCCAAGGCUUUGACGGGUAGCCGGCCUGAGAGGGUGGGCGGUCACACUGGGACUGAGAUACGGCCCAGACUCCUGCGGGAGGCAGCAGUGGGGGGUAUUGCACAAUGGGCGGAAGCCUGAUGCAGCGACGUCGCGUGAGGGAUGGAGGCCUUCGGGUUGUGAACCUCUUUCGCCGGUGAAGAAGGUCCUGCUCUUUGUGGUGGGGUUGACGGUAGCCGGGUUAUGAAGCGCCGGCUAACUACGUG
rnacentral:rRNA from 1 species